rnacentral:rRNA from 1 species
GUGGGGAAUAUUCCGCAAUGGACGAAAGUCUGACGGAGCAACGCCGCGUGAGUGAUGAAGGUUUUCGGACUGUAAAGCUCUGUUGUUUAGGACGAAAGUGCCUGUUGCAAAUAGUUACAGGUAUUGACGGUACUGAACGAGGAAGCCACGGCUAACUACGUGCCAGCAGCCGCGGUAAUACGUAGGUGGCAAGCGUUGUCCGGAAUUAUUGGGCGUAAAGAGCAUGUAGGCGGAGAUUUAAGUCUGUUGUGAAAAUGCGGGGCUCAACCCCGUAUUGCGAUGGAAACUGAAUUUCUUGAGUGCAGGAGAGGAAAGGGGAAUUCCCAGUGUAGCGGUGAAAUGCGUAGAUAUUGGGAGGAACACCAGUGGCGAAGGCGACGAUCUGGGCCUGCACUGACGCUCAGUCCCGAAAGCGUGGGGAGCAAAUAGGAUUAGAAACCCCUGUAGUCC